AACGCGAAGAACCUUACCAGCCCUUGACAUGUCCCGUAUGGGUUUCAGAGAUGAGAUCCUUCAGUUCGGCUGGCGGGAACACAGGUGCUGCAUGGCUGUCGUCAGCUCGUGUCGUGAGAUGUUGGGUUAAGUCCCGCAACGAGCGCAACCCCCGUCUUUAGUUGCCAUCAUUUAGUUGGGCACUCUAAAGAGACUGCCGGUGAUAAGCCGCGAGGAAGGUGGGGAUGACGUCAAGUCCUCAUGGCCCUUACGGGCUGGGCUACACACGUGCUACAAUGGCGGUGACAGAGGGAUGCAAAGGGGCGACCCUUCGCAAAUCUCAAAAAGCCGUCUCAGUUCGGAUUGGGCUCUGCAACUCGAGCCCAUGAAGUUGGAAUCGCUAGUAAUCGCAGAUCAGCACGCUGCGGUGAAUACGUUCCCGGGCCUUGUACACACCGACGCGUA
rnacentral:rRNA from 1 species